GAAGUCGAGUGUUUAUGAUGGA
rnacentral:siRNA from 1 species